CCUUCCUUUAUCCCAGUGGGGCCCAGACCCGCGCAACCAGGCGGGGAGGGGAGGUGGGCGCGCGAUUGGGUUGCGAUCUGGAGCAGUGGGGACAGGUCAGGAACCGGCGCGUAUUUCUGCAGUGAGACCACAGGACGGACAUCGGCGCCUUCGGCUUCGAUGGAGUUGCGAUUUUGCUCUUUCCAGGGAAACAGUGGCAGGGUGUUUGCUGCUUAUCGGUUCCUGCGGAUAUGCCUGGGUCCCAGGACAUUCCACUGGAGGCUUGGACUGCAUUUAGGAGCCCCUAUCCCUUCCCUGUCCACACUGUUAGUGAGCAAUUUCAUAUGUUUGCAUUUAGACCCAUAGACUCAGAACGACUCAUCACACACACACACAGUGUACACUGACACACUCACAUUCGCACACUUAGGUAUACAGCCUGAUCCUUGCUCUGACCUGGUAACAACGCUUCCUCCUCCAGAGACUUUGAGAUAGAGCGAGCGAUCCCUGUGCACCAUUCAUCCAUGCUCCCACCUCGCCAGUAUGGCUGGCUUAGUUCUGGAAGGGGCUUAAGAGGAACAAGCCCCAGCUGUGCUUCUGGCUGGGACUUAAACCCCCCUUCUGGGCCCUAAAGCCACGCUUCUUUGUGGACCGGACCUGACUCUCCAGGAAUCUGGGAACCCGCUAUUUCACUCUAUUUUGGGACAAGAAAAAGGGGCUCUUUGGGGCCACUUCCUGCCUUCCCCUCAAGUAGGAUCUCCAGCCUGCAGAGGGUGCCUAGUCCUUCUUUGCCCAAGAACCAGUCCAAGAAGCCUUUCCUCUGUGCCUGGGAAAUGCAACCUUUUCUUGGGAGCAUGGUAGGGUGUUGGUGCUGAAGAACCAAGCAGCGACCCGUCUUGUAGCUGCCAUGUUUUGUCGAGGGGUUCUGGGGGUCCUGCUGCUUUAGAGCCACAUACUUCCACUUCCUGAUUCACUACUGUGAGCUGGUCAGAUGCCUAGAAGAGGAACAAGCGUUCAAAGUGAAAGUGGGCACAUUACCGGAAUAGUGCUGGGGAGAGUGCUGGAUUCUUUUCCACCCCAGGCGGACUGGUGAGAAGCCAGGCUUGGACCUGUCCUCUGCUCCUAGCUUGCACACUCAGCCCUAAACUCAGAGCAGCACGCAUACCACCCCUCACACACACCCCACCAUCUGCUGUCUAAGGCCCCUGGGCUUCCUGCAGGAUCCAGACCAAUGUGGCUGGGCUUGGGCUUUUAUCUGUCCUGAUCCUGGAUUUGUCCUGACCAAUGUAAGUGUCGCCCAAUAAAACCUUCUAUGACCCCCACACCAGCCACCCCCCCACCAAGUGUGCCCUUUCCUUCUUGACUUUUUAGCAGUUCUGGGUAAAUAUUGAUUUGCCCCCAGUUUACCUUCUCCCUGACUGGCCAUUUGCAGACUCAGGAACUAGCCUCUGUAGGGACUUGAUUUUUCUGUUACUUUCUGGCCGUUUCACCACCCCCCUUCCUCCCUCCAAGUGGCAUUGUAAAACUCACAGUGACAAAGAGACAGAGUAGGGUUCUAGGCCCCUGUUCCUGGGGACUUGAAGGCGGUUUUACAUACUGGUCAGACACGGCUGGAGGCCAAGGUCAAGUUGAAAGUUGCAGUCCAGCCAGCAUGAGAACUGCCAUGCGAGCGUAGAGACACAGGCAGCAGCAAAAGGCCCAUUGCCCACAUCCCCUCACUCUUAAUUUUCUCUCUCUUUUUAAAAUUCUCGCCUCUGACUCUGUUCGGCUGCCCAGAAUUUUUUGGUGCCUUCGUGGGGUUUUUGGGGCGGUGUUUACCGACUCUUCUCUGCCUCCGCCCUGCUCAGCCAGGGCUUUGAGCCUCUUCGGUUUUCCGGCCAGACCCGGAAAAACGAAAACACAGCUUGGGGAGCCCCCACUAGCCGGCGCCUGUGCCAGCUCACCUCUGGCCAUGGCGCAGCUGCCGGUGCACACGGCGGCCAAGGCCAGCUCCACAUUCUUCCCUCCCCCUCCCACUUCACCGUAGCCCCGAACCCUGCGCGCAGAGAAAGGGUCUCAGCUCCACAGACGACUGGGUCCCUCCUCACCAAAAAUGGUGAGACAAGAUUUCAUCUGUCGGCCGAGGAGCCACAAGCAGAGAGUCCCUGAGCAAGGAGACCUCCACCCCACACACACCAUUUCAGAACAACCAGGUUCCAGACUCCCAUGAGGAGCAUCUCCCACUGCAGAGCCUUGGCCAGCCGCGCCCGGACUCCUCAGAGCUGGCGCAAACUCCGUCCUCCAAAACUCGGCUCUGGGAGGCCUAAGUGACUCCGAAGCCGGCGGCAGCCGCGGCAGCGGCCGUGGUGGUGGAAGAGCUCUUUUCCCCGACAGUGCCACUGAUCGCUCUUCACUGGAGCUGGAAACAGCCUUCGCGGAAAGGACCGGAGCAUGCGUUAGAAGCAGAGGGAGCUUGGUGAAGGGCUCGGCUGGAAGGAGGAAACGCCUUCUCGCAGUGCGCGGCCAGCCCGCGGGGGACACCGGCUUGCUGGACUGCAGGGGCCCGUGCCACCCAGGAAGUGACCUGCGGGUCACUCAGCCGGGGCGCUGGGCGAGCGCGGGACGGCCCGGAGAAUUCCGUGCGGCUGCGACGGGAAAAGGACGAGGGGUCUCUGUACCCGACGCUGCCACUGGCCCAAAGGAAUUUUACCCGCGAGCGCCCACCCCACCCUAGCUUGAUGCUUACGCCCGCAACAAAACAGGAAACCAGGACUGGGCAGUGCAUUCUUUAAGUCAACAAAUACACUGAAGACUUCGAGCGUUUGAAGGAAGGAGGGGGUUUGCACGUAAGCCUGGCCCCGCCGGGCUCGGCUUUCUCGCUGAGAAAGCGGCGCAGGCAGCCAGGCGGCCUGGGCCCGCGGGGGUCCAUCUCGCCCUAGACUCCUAAGAACUCCCACGGCCCUGUUCCCAGCUGCGAAUUCUUAAUGCACAACGCGACGGAGGGAAGGAAAUUCACCAGCGCAGCGACGAGGAAGGGGAACUCAGGACCCCUUCAAGUACACACUGAGGUGUGAUCAGAGUUUUAUGGGCACUUUAUAUGCUGUAAUCAUAACGAUGUGUGUGCCUUGAUAUGCACGCAUAUUCACGCAUCAAACGUGCAUACACACACAGAGUGAAUGUGCGCAUCCAAUGUCAUGUGGGUGAAAUACAAGCAUCAUACCCAGCCCUACGAAAAAAAAAUUCACCCUGUCGGACCAGGCUGGUGACAUACUUCGCUGGCGCAUCUCCUUACUCACUCUUACUUUUCCGACCCCUCACCAUUCCCUCUCCUGUGGCUUGGUAAAUACACCUGCCCUCCGUGGAAGGUGAGUCCUGGACUGGCGUUGCCAGGUUCGCAUGUCCUCCCCAGAACCUCCGUCUGGCUCCAGGGACUCUCACUGAGCGGGUCUAGAGCACCCAGCACUUUUCAAGGAACAGCCGCGGUUCCUUUGUCCCGCGGCUCCAGCCCCGUUCGGCCCAGCUCUCAGGGAAACGAAGCGCUCAGUAAGAACUUUUGAUAUUAGUUUGUAUGGGUAUUUACACUCUGGUGAGGGGAGCUGAGUACGGAAGUUCCAUUAAUCAUACUCCAACCUUGGGUUUAGAUAUUCAGUUUAUGGGUUGGGAGAGGGAGUUUGCCGGAAAGAAAGCAUCAAGGUUGGCCGCUGACUCCAGAGAAAUGAAAAGGGAGCAAGGUCGUUUUCUGUUUCUGGAAAUCAAGAAUUAGGAAUGGGCAACUACAGGUGCUAACCAACAGACCACUUUUUUGUUUUUUGGUAGCCCUUUGGCAGGGAUAGUUUUUCCACCUUUGCCCGAUACAAUUUAAAAAAAAAAAUCCUUUUAUUAUGGAAUUUGUCAAACACACACACAAGCAUAACAAACCCCUAGGUACCCAUCUCCAAGUUUUGACCCCUAUUAUAAUUUCAUCUUCAGUGUUUUAUUAUCCACUUCCUCUCUCUCUAUCUUUAGUAUUUUAAAGUAAAUCCCAGAUAGCAUCACAUCAUUUCACCCCCACCAUAGGAUUUCAAAGAUCUGUUAUAUUUCAAGAUUGAGUAAAAGGGCUUGAAAUUGGGUUAUUGCAAUGAAACUCUAGAAAAAGCUUGAGGGUUCACCCAGGAGUAAGCUGGACAAAAAAGGGGUUUGAGGGGUGGACCCAUCUUGCCUAAAAAUCUUGUCUCAUCUUUCUAAAAAUUACAUAUGAAAGAGGAAGAUUUAUGUUACUUUUUUAUAUGAGAGAAUCGUCCUUUAAUAGAAAAUUUCUAUUGCUGCAUCAGAAUUAUGGAGGAACACAAAAAACAUACCUCAGUCCUUAGUGUGUCCUAAAUUAACACAUAUUCACUUAUUAGUGGGUAAAUGACUAUAUUUCAUUUCAGCACAACUUCUCCCCUGGUAGAAACACAAAAGAAAUUUCUAAUGAUUAAACUAGGAAAGUUUGCACUGAAUUGAUGGCUUAUCAGAGCAACCGCAGUUUUCAGGAAGAAAUUCAAUGCCAUGCGUUGAAAAUAUCCCCCUAGCAAUAAGGGAUUAUUUUUAAAAAAGAAUGAAUAAAGAUGUUCUGGUUUCUUUUGUUUUA
rnacentral:lncRNA from 1 species